rnacentral:rRNA from 1 species
CAGUCGCGCGGUAAUACGUAGGGUGCGAGCGUUGUCCGGAAUUACUGGGCGUAAAGGGCUCGUAGGUGGUUUGUCGCGUCAUCUGUGAAAUUCUGGGGCUUAACUCCGGGCGUGCAGGCGAUACGGGCAUAACUUGAGUGCUGUAGGGGUAACUGGAAUUCCUGGUGUAGCGGUGAAAUGCGCAGAUAUCAGGAGGAACACCGAUGGCGAAGGCAGGUUACUGGGCAGUUACCGACGCUGAGGAGCGAAAGCAUGGGUAGCGAACAGGAUUAGAUACCCCCGUAGUCCCUGUCUCUUAUAC